rnacentral:rRNA from 1 species
GAUGAACGCUGGCGGCGUGCCUAAUACAUGCAAGUCGAGCGAACGGACGAGAAGCUUGCUUCUCUGAUGUUAGCGGCGGACGGGUAAGUAACACGUGGAUAACCUACCUAUAAGACUGGGAUAACUUCGGGAAACCGGAGCUAAUACCGGAUAAUAUUUUGGACCGCAUGGUUCAAAAGUGAAAGACGGUCUUGCUGUCACUUAUAGAUGGAUCCGCGCUGCAUUAGCUAGUUGGUAAGGUAACGGCUUACCAAGGCAACGAUGCAUAGCCGACCUGAGAGGGUGAUCGGCCACACUGGAACUGAGACACGGUCCAGACUCCUACGGGAGGCAGCAGUAGGGAAUCUUCCGCAAUGGGCGAAAGCCUGACGGAGCAACGCCGCGUGAGUGAUGAAGGUCUUCGGAUCGUAAAACUCUGUUAUUAGGGAAGAACAUAUGUGUAAGUAACUGUGCACAUCUUGACGGUACCUAAUCAGAAAGCCACGGCUAACUACGUG